rnacentral:rRNA from 1 species
GACGAACGCUGGCGGCGUGCUUAACACAUGCAAGUCAUGGGGACCCAGCAAUGGGUAACCGGCGAACGGGUGCGUAACACGUGAGUGACCUGCCGAUUUGUGGGGGAUAGCCGGGCCAACGCCCGGGUAAUACCGCAUACGCUCUUCUUGGGGCAUCUCUAGAAGAGGAAACCUCCGGGGCAAAUCGAGGGACUCGCGGCCUAUCAGCUAGUUGGCGAGGUAACGGCUCACCAAGGCUACGACGGGUAGCUGGUCUGAGAGGAUGGCCAGCCACAUUGGGACUGAGAUACGGCCCAGACUCCUACGGGAGGCAGCAGUGGGGAAUAUUGCGCAAUGGCCUAACGGCUGACGCAGCGACGCCGCGUGUGGGAUGACGCCCUUCGGGGUGUAAACCACUGUUGCUCGAGACGAAUAGCGAGCUUUAGCUCGCCUGACGGUAUCGAGUGAGGAAGCACCGGCUAACUCCGUGCCAGCAGCCGCGGUAAUACGGAGGGUGCGAGCGUUGUCCGGAAUCACUGGGCGUAAAGGGCGCGUAGGUGGUCAGGUAAGGGUGUGGUGAAAGU